rnacentral:tRNA from 2 species
GGGGCGGUAGCACAGCCGGUUAGUGCAUCGGACUCAUAAUCUGACGGUCGCGGGUUCGAGCCCCGCCCGCCCCACCA